rnacentral:lncRNA from 1 species
UCCCAGCCUUAAGAGUAUGUAGGCUUCUUCCCAGCCCUGGGUCCCCACAGUUCCGUGGGCCACGGAGGGGAUCCAGCGGCUUCAAGGAGAAUGAGAGAAACAGCUGAGGAAGGAAAAGCUUCGGUAGCAAGCAGGACAAAACGAAGAGCAAGCAAGGAGGGUUAUUUGGAACUAAGCAAUAGUACAGAUUAAAGAAAGAUUGGAUAAGGAGGUGGAAGAUGAUCCCAGGGCACUGGCUGACCACAGGUUUUAGGGUGCAUACAUGUUAUUAGACGCGUUCUCACGACCGGCCAGGAAGAACACCACAGACCAAAAUCUUCUGCGGCAAAACUUUAUUGCUUACAUCUUCAGGAGCAGGAGUGCAAGAAGCAAGAGAGCAAGAAGCAAGAGAGCAAGAAGCAAGAGAGAGAGAAAAACGAAACCCCGUCCCUCUUAAGGAGCAUUCUCCUUCGCCUCGGACGUGUCACUCCCUGAUUGGCUGCAGCCCAUCGGCCGAGUUGACGUCACGGGGAAGGCAGAGCACAAGUAGUCAUAAGAUACCCUUGGCACAUGCGCAGAUUAUUUGUUUACCACUUAGAACACAGCUGUCAGCGCCAUCUUGUAACGGCGAAUGUGGGCGCGGCUCCCAACACAUACAGAGCAAAGGUGCUUCACUUCUGAGCGCCAUCACACCUGUUCUCAUUUGUUCCCCUCCCUCGCUGAGCCCACCCCUCCACCAAGUCCCUUUCUUCUUCCACACAGUGUCCCCUCUACAAUCCAUCACCCUGCCACCCCCUUUCCUUGAGAGCUCUUUCCUCUUUUUUCCCUUUUCCCAGCCAGCAAACACACAUGUAUAAGUAGAGACAUAAGUGCACACAUAUAGAUAGGCAUACAUGUACACAUUUAUGAUAGGGAUAUGUGCAAACAUGUCGAUACACAUGCACACAUGUAGAGAAAAAUAUACAUGCACAUAUAUAGACAUAUACACACCCAUAUACAGAGAGGCAUACGUGCUCACAUAUAAAUAGACAUGCACAUAUAUUUAGAUAUAGAUAGAGACAUACAUGCAUACUUGCUUUGUAGAUCAGGCUGGCCUCAAGCUCACAAAGAUCUGCUUGCCUCUGCCUCCUAAAUGCUGGGAUUAAAGGGAUGUGCCACUACCGCCCAGCUUCACCAAGUCUUCUUUUCAGGAAUUCACUGAAACAUCUUAUGAAAACUCACACCAGUGUCUUCCUUCAGAGAACCCAGGCUCCAGCUGUGGCUACCACAUAAGGGUUUUUAAUACAAGAAAAAUAAAGUAAUUAAGUCUGAAAAAAUAGAUAGGUGCACUAAUGUCCCUUUAAUGAGAUAAGGUGAUUUGCCUCCCCAGAACCCCGGCCUCCUGGUAGUUUCUUACAAUGUGACCACAUCCACCUGUGUGAGUGCCCACGCUUUCUGAAUUACUCAGGGAAGUGUAACCUCUCUUCUUUCUGUCUCUUCUCUAGGCAUGCCUUCCUAAUACUUUGGGCUUCCUCACUGUAAGGGUUAGCUUUGUCAGCUUGACCCAAAUCAGGGUCAUCUGGUAAAGGGAACCUCAGCUGACCAAAUGGUUCCAUUAGCCUGGCCUGUGGCCAAGUCUGUGAGGCAUUUUCUUCAUUAGUGACGGAUGUGGGAGGGGAGGGCCCAGCCCACUGUGGGUGAUACAGGUGGGCCUGGGUGCUGUAAGGAAGCAGCCUGAGCAAGCUGUGAAGCAAGCCAGUGUCCCCUGUAGCUUCUGCUCCCAUUCCUGUCCCCGGGUUCCUGUCUAGAGCUCCUACUCGACUCCCCUUGGUGACCUGACAUCUGUAAGAUGAAAUAAACUCUAAGUUCUUUGCCUACAUUGCCUUUGGUUUGUGUUUCAUCACAGCAAUAGGAUGCUCCCCUCCCUGACAUGUGACUGCCCUUUGUGCCUUUUAACUCCAGCAGGAAGACCGGUGGUCCCCUUCUCCUCCCUGUUCUCCACCUUCCAGCAGCUGCAGAGGUUUGUAGCUCACCUGCCCUCUAAUAAAGUUGUCCUCCAGCUUCCGUCUA